CCUACGGGAGGCAGCAGUGAGGAAUAUUGGUCAAUGGGCGCUAGCCUGAACCAGCCAAGUAGCGUGAAGGAUGACUGCCCUAUGGGUUGUAAACUUCUUUUAUAUGGGAAUAAAGUGCAGUAUGUAUACUGCUUUGCAUGUACCUUAUGAAUAAGGAUCGGCUAACUCCGUGCCAGCAGCCGCGGUAAUACGGAGGAUCCGAGCGUUAUCCGGAUUUAUUGGGUUUAAAGGGAGCGUAGGCGGGUUGUUAAGUCAGUUGUGAAAGUUUGCGGCUCAACCGUAAAAUUGCAGUUGAUACUGGCAUCCUUGAGUACAGUAGAGGUAGGCGGAAUUCGUGGUGUAGCGGUGAAAUCCGUAGAUAUCUGGAGGAACAUCAGUGGCGAAGGCGACUAUCUGGCACAUAACUGACGCUGAGGAGCGAAAGCGUGGGUAGCAAACAGGAUUAGAUACCCCUGUAGUC
rnacentral:rRNA from 1 species